AAGUUCUUUUCAGCAAAACAUUGGCAACCCUUUGGGAUGUACAGUUAUAUGAUAUCCCAGAUCCCAGCAAGGCUGAAAAACAGCUGAUUAUUAUUCUUGAUUUGAAGAAAACAGCAUUUUGGAAACUGUUAGGAAAAAAUAUAAAUUAGAUUUCACAACUUGAGCGCAAUGAAUAUCUUUUGGUAGAGCUACAUCCAUAAUUAGAUAAGUAACUAUGUCUUUGGCGGAGGCAUAUCGUUCUUGUUGGCUGAUUGCCACAUUUGGUCUCAUACUUUUUCUUGGCGGAGCCGGUGUUUUAUUUUGGAAUGAGGGAAGAGCAGUCCAUACGAUUAUGUCAUUGGACGAAGCAUUAGAUGAUGCUGUGACCCUGGAGACAAAUGCCGAUGAUAUAGAACCUAUAUAUAAUGAUCGUAUUGUACAUAUCACCGGACCACUCAUUGUGGGCGAACCCUUAACGGAACCCGAUUAUAAUAUACAAGUAUUGGCCGUAAAAUUAAAACGGCGUGUUCAAAUGUACCAAUGGGUUGAGGAAACAGUGGAACAUAACUAUGGUGAAAGUGUAGCUUCAGUACACACAGAGGAUCGUACCUAUUAUUAUACACGUGAUUGGCGUGAUCAUGUCAUAGACUCUCGUUCGUUUUAUAUACAAACUGGCCAUCAAAAUCCCCGCCAAUUUCCCAUCGAGUCUGCAACGCAAACAGCUGAUGCUGUCUACAUUGGACGUUUCGAGUUGGGCAGUGAUAUCAAGAACAAAUUUAACAACUAUGUGGAAUUAACAUCUGACACCAGACCUGAAGAUCCUACGAUUAAAUUACACUUGGGCUUAUAUUACCAUACAAAUGACAUUUUUAAUCCCGAGAUAGGAGAUAUACGUCUUCUAUUUUCGUUUGCUGGCAUGGAAGGUGAGAUGUAUACGAUAGUGGGCAGACUGGCUAAGAAUAAAAUAGAACCCUACACUACAAGUCGUGGUGUUAAAAUUUUACUAGUCUAUCCUGGUGAACUAUCAUUGACUGAAGUGUUCAAGAAGGAACAUCAUGCUCAACGUCUAACCACGUGGGGUUUCCGUUUUAUGGGUUGGGUUUUGGUGUUCUUCGGUGUAACAUGUACAUCGACACUAUUGCAUCUAAUUUUAUCUCGAGUACAAUUUUUGUCAUCUCUUGCCCCAGAUCCCCGAUUUCCAGUGGGUACAAAUGUUUUACUUUCACUUUCUAUGGCCUUAGUGAUUGCCGCUGUGGCAUGGAUCUUGCAUAGACCUAUGAUAGGUGCUGGUUUAAUGUUUGCUGCUGCCUCCCCUUUUGUGUGGUUUGCACGCGGUGUGGCCAGUUAUCAACGAGUCAAUUGACCAGUGAACAGUACCAAAAUAUGGGAACAAAAGAUAACAAUAUAAUAUACCAAAUAGCAAUUAUGUUGAGCUCCAAAUACUGGAAUAUAAAAUACUGUCUUUUCUAGAUUGACUGUACGAGCGAAGGAUCAAAAUUUAACGCAAAGGAGAACCGAAUUAUGCUACGAAAAACAAUGAAUUGGUCUCAGUCUGUCCACACACUACGUACCCUUUGUCCAAUAUCCGGCCCAUCGAUAAAAGCGGUAAAACAUGAGCUAUUUACAUGAAUGAGUAAAACCAUUCGAAAUCUUUCAAUUUUGAGUUUUGUACCUACAUAUGCCUUAAUUGAAAGAUAAUUAUUAAACUUUAAGAACGUGAAUAUUUAAACCGACAAUUUGACAUUCAACUUUGUACAAAGUGGUAUAACAUUCAUUAAAUACGAGAUGAAAUUUCAUUUGAUAUGAAAACGUACUCGGAUCGCUUAUGCAUUAUUUCGUCCCCAGCUCUUAAAGUUAAAGACAGGAGAGCCUAACCAUAUUUUCAUGUGAAGGUGGCGAUCUUCGUCAAACUCCAGUGUGAACAAGCUCGAUCGCCGCGAG